GGGACUUACGAGCGGGAUCUUGGUGUAACAUGGAAGGAUGCUGGGGUGGUUGAGCAGAUUCGCGAGGCCUGCGGUCUCACUGUUGCGGAGGCGAUCGAGAUUGGAAGACGGAGGGCCCGGGUGGCAGUUGUCAAUGAUACUCGGCCGGUGGACCUGCCGCGCGCUUGGGCGUGGGCGCUCAGUAGCGGCUUGUGGAUCUCUGCCGUUUUUGGGGGAAGACAUGGGGGCUCUCAUCCUCUUUUAAGCUUGACUAUAUAUGCUCCUAUAGAUAUAGAUGUACUCUAUAUGUUGUAAUGUAGUGUGACCGAAAGGACUGUCAC
rnacentral:lncRNA from 1 species